rnacentral:rRNA from 1 species
AACGAACGCUGGCGGCAUGCCUAACACAUGCAAGUCGAACGAGACCUUCGGGUCUAGUGGCGCACGGGUGCGUAACGCGUGGGAACCUGCCCUUAGGUUCGGAAUAACUCCCCGAAAGGGGUGCUAAUACCGGAUAAUGUCUUCGGACCAAAGAUUUAUCGCCUUUGGAUGGGCCCGCGUUGGAUUAGCUAGUUGGUAGGGUAAAAGCCUACCAAGGCGACGAUCCAUAGCUGGUCUGAGAGGAUGAUCAGCCACACUGGGACUGAGACACGGCCCAGACUCCUACGGGAGGCAGCAGUGGGGAAUAUGGGACAAGGGGCGAAAGCCUGAGCCAGCAAUGCCGCGUGAGUGAUGAAGGCCUUAGGGUUGUAAAGCUCUUUUACCCGGGAUGAUAAUGACAGUACCGGGAGAAUAAGCUCCGGCUAACUCCGG